CACCACCAGGAGUGGAGCCUGCGGCUUAAUUUGACUCAAAACAGGAAACCUCUUUCGGCCCGGACACGGAAAGGAUUGACAGAUUGAUAGCUCUUUCUCGAUUCUGUGGGUGGUGGUGCAUGGCCGUUCUUAGUUGGUGGAGCGAUUUGUCUGGUUAAUUCCGAUAAAGAUCUGGAUUGCGCCAGGUCUCUGAUGCCCUUACAUGUCCACACUGAGUGGAUCGGCGUGUCUACCCUUCGCCGAGAGGCGCGGGUAACCCACUGAACUCCUCUUGUGAUAGGUAUACGGGAUUGCAAUUGUUUCCCAUCAACGAGGAAUUCCCAGUAAGCGCGGGUCACAAGCUCAAAAGUCAGCACUG
rnacentral:ncRNA from 1 species